GAAUUUUCCGCAAUGGGCGAAAGUCUGACGGAGCGACGCCGCGUGCGGGAUGAAGGCCCUUGGGUUGUAAACCGCUGUCAGAGGGGAUGAAAUCAUCAGGGGUUAUCCCCUGAUGUUGACAAAGCUUCAGAGGAAGCACGGGCUAAGUACGUGCCAGCAGCCGCGGUAACACGUACUGUGCGAACGUUAUUCGGAAUCACUGGGCUUAAAGGGUACGUAGGCGGUUUACCAAGUCAGAUGUGAAAUGCCACAGCUCAACUGUGGCACUGCGUUUGAAACUGGUAGGCUAGAGUAUUCCAGGGGUGUGCGGAACUUAUGGUGGAGCGGUGAAAUGCGUUGAUAUCAUGAGGAACAUCCGGAGGCGAAGGCGGCACACUGGGGGAUAACUGAC
rnacentral:rRNA from 1 species